CAGGCCUAACACAUGCAAGUCGAACGAGAAGCCGGAGCUUGCUCCGGCGGAAAGUGGCGAACGGGUGAGUAACACGUGAGAAAUCUGUCCUAGAGACCGGGAUAACCAUCGGAAACGAUGGCUAAUACCGGAUACCCUCAUCCAGCCGCCUGGUCGGAUGAGGAAAUGCUCAGGCGCUCUAGGAGGGUCUCGCGGCCUAUCAGCUAGUUGGUGGGGUAACGGCCUACCAAGGCAUCGACGGGUAGCUGGUCUGAGAGGACGAUCAGCCACACUGGGACUGAGACACGGCCCAGACUCCUACGGGAGGCAGCAGUGGGGAAUAUUGCGCAAUGGGCGAAAGCCUGACGCAGCAACGCCGCGUGAGGGAUGACGGUCUUCGGGUUGUAAACCUCUUUCAGUGAUGACGAAAAUGACGGUAAUCACAGAAGAAGCUCCGGCCAACUACGUGCCAGCAGCCGCGGUAACACGUAGGGAGCGAGCGUUGUCCGGAUUCAUUGGGCGUAAAGAGCUCGUAGGCGGUUUCGUAAGUCAGAUGUGAAAACUCAGGGCUCAACCCUGAGAUGCCAUCUGAUACUGCGAUGACUAGAGUCCGGUAGAGGAGCAUGGAAUUCCUGGUGUAGCGGUGGAAUGCGCAGAUAUCAUGAGGAACACCAACGGCGAAGGCAGUGCUCUGGGCCGGUACUGACGCU
rnacentral:rRNA from 1 species